GAUGCAGCCAUGCCGCGUGUAUGAAGAAGGCCUUCGGGUUGUAAAGUACUUUCGGCGGGGAGGAAGGGAGUAAAGUUAAUACCUUUGCUCAUUGACGUUACCCGCAGAAGAAGCACCGGCUAACUCCGUGCCAGCAGCCGCGGUAAUUA
rnacentral:rRNA from 1 species